UUACACUGGGAGGGACAGGGGCGGGGCUGGAGGAAGGUGGGGUGGGGCCUAUUGAGGAGCACAGAGACCUGCAGGCAUAGGAGCUGCCCUCCUUCCAAGAUGUGGCUUCUCCCGCUGGUCCUGACCUCCCUCGCCUCUUCUGCAACUUGGGCAGGGCAGCCAGCCUCGCCGCCUGUUGUGGACACUGCCCAGGGCCGAGUCCUGGGGAAGUACGUCAGCUUAGAAGGCCUGGCACAGCCGGUGGCCGUCUUCCUGGGAGUCCCUUUUGCCAAGCCCCCUCUCGGAUCCUUGAGGUUUGCUCCGCCGCAGCCUGCAGAACCAUGGAGCUUCGUGAAGAACACCACCUCCUACCCUCCCAUGUGCUGCCAAGAGCCAAUUGGGGGACAGAUGCUCUCAGAUCUAUUUACCAACAGAAAGGAGAGGCUCAUUCCGGAGUUUUCUGAAGACUGUCUCUACCUAAAUAUUUACACCCCUGCUGACCUGACAAAGAGGGGCAGACUGCCGGUGAUGGUGUGGAUCCACGGAGGAGGUCUGGUGGUGGGCGGGGCUUCCACCUAUGAUGGACUGGCCCUCGCUGCGCAUGAAAACGUGGUGGUGGUGGCCAUCCAGUACCGCCUGGGCAUCUGGGGAUUCUUCAGCACAGGGGACGAACACAGCCGGGGCAACUGGGGUCACUUGGACCAGGUGGCCGCACUGCACUGGGUCCAGGAGAACAUCGCCAACUUUGGAGGCGACCCAGGCUCUGUGACCAUCUUUGGAGGUCAGCAGGAGGGGAAGUGUCUCUGUUCUGGUGUUGUCUCCCUUGGCAAGAACCUCUUCCACCGGGCCAUCUCUGAGAGUGCGUGGCCUUACUGCUGGCCUGGUCAGGAAGGACAUGAAGGCUGCAGCUAAGCAAAUUGCUGUCCUUGCUGGGUGUAAAACCACCACCUCGGCUGUCUUUGUUCACUGCCUGCGCCAGAAGUCAGAGGACGAGCUCUUGGACUUAACGCUGAAGAUGGUAGGUACACCUGCUCUCGUGGCCACACAAGUGCCCUACCCUGUGAACAUGGCCCCAGACUUCAAUUCAGCUGACCCCUUGCCCUGGAAAAACCAUCUGAAACAGGGUUUCGCAAAUUUUCCUCUUGAUUUGCAUGGAGACCCCAGAGAGAGCCAUCCCUUCCUGCCCACUGUGGUGGAUGGAGUGCUGCUGCCCAAGAUGCCUGAAGAGAUUCUGGCUGAAAAGGAUUUCAACACUGUCCCCUACAUCGUGGGAAUCAACAAGCAAGAGUUUGGCUGGCUUCUGCCAACGAUGAUGGGCUUCCCCCUCUCUGAAGGCAAGCUGGACCAGAAGACGGCCACGUCACUCCUGUGGAAGUCCUACCCCAUCGCUAACAUCCCUGAGGAACUGACUCCAGUGGCCACUGACAAGUAUUUGGGGGGGACAGACGACCCCGUCAAAAAGAAAGACCUGUUCCUGGACUUGAUGGGGGAUGUGGUGUUUGGUGUCCCAUCUGUGACGGUGGCCCGUCAACACAGAGAUGCAGGAGCCCCCACCUACAUGUAUGAGUUUCAGUAUCGCCCAAGCUUCUCAUCGGACAAGAAACCCAAGACGGUGAUCGGGGACCACGGGGAUGAGAUCUUCUCCGUCUUUGGUUUUCCACUGUUAAAAGGCGAUGCCCCAGAAGAGGAGGUCAGUCUCAGCAAGAUGGUGAUGAAAUUCUGGGCCAACUUUGCUCGCAGUGGGAACCCCAAUGGGGAGGGGCUGCCCCAUUGGCCGAUGUACGACCAGGAAGAAGGGUACCUUCAGAUCGGCGUCAACACCCAGGCAGCCAAGAGGCUGAAAGGUGAAGAAGUGGCCUUCUGGAACGAUCUCCUGUCCAAGGAGGCAGCAAAGAAGCCACCCAAGAUAAAGCAUGCUGAGCUGUGAAGGGGAGGCUCGGCUGACCUUGAGGGCUUGUGGGACCGCAGGCAGGAGCAGUCUACCGAAGGCGUUGAUGGGCCAGGAGGUAUCUUCUUGUGGAGGCUGGGGAAUUAGCGGGUGGGAGUGGCGGAGAUCAGGGAGGGGGAAUUUCUGUAGCUGCGGCCUCAAUUUUAGAAAUAAAUGUUCUUUUGGAGACCAAGUCGGUGUCUCA